rnacentral:rRNA from 2 species
CGACGCUGGCGGCGUGCCUUAAUCAUGCAAGUCGAGCGGACUGAUGGGAGCUUGCUCCCUGAUGUCAGCGGCGGACGGGUGAGUAACACGUGGGCAACCUGCCUGUAAGACUGGGAUAACUCCGGGAAACCGGGGCUAAUACCGGAUAAUUCUUUCCCUCACAUGAGGGAAAGCUGAAAGAUGGUUUCGGCUAUCACUUACAGAUGGGCCCGCGGCGCAUUAGCUAGUUGGUGAGGUAACGGCUCACCAAGGCAACGAUGCGUAGCCGACCUGAGAGGGUGAUCGGCCACACUGGGACUGAGACACGGCCCAGACUCCUACGGGAGGCAGCAGUAGGGAAUCUUCCGCAAUGGACGAAAGUCUGACGGAGCAACGCCGCGUGAGUGAUGAAGGUUUUCGGAUCGUAAAACUCUGUUGUUAGGGAAGAACAAGUACCGGAGUAACUGCCGGUACCUUGACGGUACCUAACCAGAAAGCCACGGCUAACUACGUGCCAGCAGCCGCGGUAAUACGUAGGUGGCAAGCGUUGUCCGGAAUUAUUGGGCGUAAAGCGCGCGCAGGCGGUUCCUUAAGUCUGAUGUGAAAGCCCCCGGCUCAACCGGGGAGGGUCAUUGGAAACUGGGGAACUUGAGUGCAGAAAAAAA